rnacentral:rRNA from 1 species
UUUCAUAGUCGAACAGACUAGCUUACUUAGCUACUACGCUAGGCAGCGCCUUUAAUUCAACAUCGAGGUCACAAGAUCUUUUAUCGAUUAGGCCUCUCUAAAAGCAUUGUGCUGUUAUCCCUGAGGUAACUACUCUUUAACUUGCUAAAGAUCUUAGUAUCGCCUACUUGAGUGGCUUAUUAAUUAGAUGUUAUUACUUUACCGCCCCAGUUUGGCCCAACAGCAACGAAACCUCAAAUUGUUUGAGCUUGAGUUCAUCUCUAAGUCAGCUCUGCAGGGUCUUAUCUUCCCGUUGGUGGGACUUGAAGUUUUAAUCAAGACCUUAAGUUGUACCGUUACGGACUUACAAGUCGUCUUUCAUGAACCCCUUCAUUCUAGACCCCAAUUAAGAGCCAAAUUAUUAUGCUACCUUUGCACAGUUAAGG